UUCCUUAAACACGUCGUUUUCUUUUCACGACGUUUCACCACCGCCAUCUUUCCUUCUGCCGCUACCCUUUUCACCACCGUCCUCUUUCCCUCUCCGUCGUCGCCGCCCUCUUCAUCUCUCUGACGCAGCUGCCUUCCACCACCGCCGUCAAUUUUGCCAUUCUUACAUCUGUCGUAAUAUUUCAGCAAAUUCAAUCUCAAAUCAAUCAAACAGUUUGUAACACCAAUUGAAUCCUCAACCUUUAUUUGAUUUUCACCUCGAUUAAAGUAGUGUUUGGAUUUUGUAUUUGCCCAAUGGUUCUUCAAUUACCUUCUUUGUUUAUUGCUCGACAUUUUAUGUUCUGGUGGCCGGAGGAGUGAGUGUCACAGCAAUGACGAGAGUAAGAUGAAAACACGAAGAAGAAAAGGUUUGCGACGACGAUGAUACAUGUGGUUUCAACGGAGGCGUUGGAGAGCGGCGGCAGAGAAAGGGAAGAGGGGCGGUGGUGUAGUGGAAAAAGCAGGGAUCUGACACUGUUUGUGCGGAAGAGAAACAUAACGGUUUUUAUUUUGUUUAAUUAAAUAAAUAAUUAUUUUUAAUUUAAAAUCUCAGCCUUUGGAUGUUUUUUUGCCACAUGUCUUGCAUCCAAACCCCUAAAUAGACUAAAUUGAGCAUACCUGAACCCCUAUUUUAACAAUGUGAGAUCCACUACGAGUGUAUUCAAUGAAUCUACUUUUCUCCACAAAGGCCCAUUUGUUUUUAAGAAAAAUUCUACAAUGAAGUCACGAUAAUGACUUUUCUGGUGAAGUUAAAUGACCAAUUAUUUAAUCUAUAUCACGUCAGAUUAUAUGGUGUAUUGCACAUUUGCCCAUAAAGUGUGUCAUUAUAUCAAUUGUAUCUUUGAUUAAAUCAAAGUUAAACAAAAUAACUUUUCCAAAAAAAUCAAUUUUCUGACUGCACUGUAGAAUCCCACUAGUUUUUAAUCAGCACUUACUUAUGUACAACUAAGGCUUAAUGAAUUAAGCUAUUUUGUUUAUCAAAUAAUAUAGUGAUUAAUAAGGACUAAACUAUCGUUCAUACAUAUAACAAUGCAUUAUUUCUGUCAGCCGAGCACCUAACAAGGACUAAUCAAUUAAGCUCUUACCUCUUACCAAACGGGUGUUUGUGGAAAGUUUAAGCUUGUGAAUCGCGAGUUCAUGACCCUUUAUUAGCGUUGACACGAGGCACUAUCCCUGUGUUUAUAAUAAAAAAAUGUAGGAAAGGACCUGCCGGCCCACUCCUCCAUUCCACAGCUAGCAACGUGCUACCCUCCCUCUCCUCGUGGCUGAUGUCUUUUUACUUUGAAACUAAUAAUAGCAUAUUUUAUAAUAAAACGAGUUCUACGAUGCUGUCCUAAUAAGAAAACAAAUUUAAAUCAGUCAUUUUUUAUAAAAUAAAGCUAACUUCUAUUUUUGUGCCUCGUAAAUUCACUUUUUCAUUUAAAUUUUUUUUAUAGUCAAAUACAUAGAAAUGCAUAAAGUAUAAUUGUUGACUAAAAUUUGAUAAUUUUACUCAGUCUACUCCUUUUGUCUCAAAGACUAAAAUUCGAUAACUUCAUGCAUAAAGUAUAAUUUCUUUGGAACCAUGUGAACAAUUUUAGGGCAAACUUCAGAAAGUUGUAAUAUUAUGGGAGUACAUAUUAGUUUGAGUACAGGCACUUACCUUUGUCUCCCUUGCUAGCGUGUCUCUUUAAUUUAGUUAUGUGAUUGUGAUGAACUGAUGAUAGAGUAAGAUCAAAAGUUUACUACUCACCGUAAUUACUGAAUGAAGAAUGAGUAAUAUUAUUGUUGGACACUACACUGUUGCAUGUCACCAGAAAUUGACACUUAAACAAGAAGUUGAAGGUUUUUGCUCAAAGUGAAGAAUCUUCUUCGGUGUAUAUGACGAAAUUAUGUGUCUAAUAGAUUUAGACUUUGAGACAAAAGAGUAGAAUCUGCUUCCGUGAUCUAGGAGAGGAUGGAAAGCUACACCUUUAAUUUAACCAGAGUCUUUCUUAUUGAUAGAGCAACGUACAUCGAUCCUUUUGUAAUGAUGUAAAUUUAUUACUUUCUCAAGGAUUUGGAUUUUCUUAUUUACAACUCGAGCAUAGUACUAUAGUGAUAGAGUCACAACAUUCAAACAUGUGAUAUAACAUCAUUGAACAACCAUGCAAUAUUGGUCGCGAUCCCAAAACAUUUAUCUUGUCAUGCUGCUGCUGUCUGCUCCUAGGGACAAGUGGACUUCAAAUAUAAAGCUUGUUAGCCGUAGUGCAAUAUUGAUGCUUCUUUCACCUUGAGGCAAAAUCAUGUUGGCAUUGAAGUGUGUGUCUGCAUGGGGAUGAAGGGUGUUCUGUUCUUGCCAAAAUGGAAGGGUGGAAGCCUCUAACUUUGGCGGUUGAAAGAAAAGUGCCUUGUCUUUGAUUUGUUGAAUAAUGUUGACUUUGAGCUUGAUUGCAAAAUAUUGGUGGAUGCUUUUCACAACCCAAAGAUGAUGUCUCAGAGUUUUGUUUCAUAAAUGUGGAUUGUUUUGUUGGCAGAUUUUAUUCUGUAUUGAAAAUUUCUAAAGUUGUUUUUAUUAGAGACAAAUCUACUAUUUGGUCGUCUGUCUUAACUCAAACAACCACAUUCUUAUAGUUGGUUUCCAUUUUAUAUUCUCA
rnacentral:lncRNA from 1 species